AUUGAACGCUGGCGGCAUGCUUUACACAUGCAAGUCGAACGGCAGCGCGGGCUUCGGCCUGGCGGCGAGUGGCGAACGGGUGAGUAAUGCAUCGGAACGUGCCCAGUAGUGGGGGAUAGCCCGGCGAAAGCCGGAUUAAUACCGCAUACGACCUGAGGGUGAAAGCGGGGGACCGAAAGGCCUCGCGCUAUUGGAGCGGCCGAUGUCGGAUUAGCUAGUUGGUGGGGUAAAGGCUUACCAAGGCGACGAUCCGUAGCUGGUCUGAGAGGACGACCAGCCACACUGUGACUGAGACACGGCCCAGACUCCUACGAGAGGCAGCAGUGGGGAAUUUUGGACAAAGGGGGCAACCCUGAUCCAGCCAUGCCGCGUGCGGGAAGAAGGCCUUCGGGUUGUAAACCGCUUUUGUUCGGGAAGAAAUCCUCUGGGCUAAUACCCCGGGGGGAUGACGGUACCGGAAGAAUAAGCACCGGCUAACUACGUG
rnacentral:rRNA from 1 species